rnacentral:pre_miRNA from 1 species
UCUUCGUUUCGCACACUAUCUCGCCUCUCUGACCGCCGAGAGAGUGUGUGAAAUGAAGAGA